rnacentral:lncRNA from 1 species
CAUCAUCAUUGAUCGUCCAUCCGAGGCCUGCAAUUUGAUUUACUUCAUUCCAAGCUGCAUCAGAUCUGACCGUAGCCGCACCUGCAAUCAACAAACUAAAACCAUGUAACUAACCAUUUCAAUUCCAAAUUUUAGCAAAAAAAAAAAAAACAAAAACAAACUAAAUAAAUAAACAUAUUAUAAUUUUAUCCACCUUUCUUGCAACCGUAAAUAUAUACCCAACUUUUACUUCUACUGCAUGCCUGAAUUAGCGAUCAAU